AUUGAACGCUGGCGGCAGGCCUAACACAUGCAAGUCGAGCGGAUGAAGGGAGCUUGCUCCUGGAUUCAGCGGCGGACGGGUGAGUAAUGCCUAGGAAUCUGCCUGGUAGUUGGGGAUAACGUCCGGAAACGGGCGCUAAUACCGCAUACGUCCUGAGGGAGAAAGUGGGGGAUCUUCGGACCUCACGCUAUCAGAUGAGCCUAGGUCGGAUUAGCUAGUUGGUGGGGUAAAGGCCUACCAAGGCGACGAUCCGUAACUGGUCUGAGAGGAUGAUCAGUCACACUGGAGCUGAGACACGGUCCAGACUCCUACGGGAGGCAGCAGUGGGGAAUAUUGGACAAUGGGCGAAAGCCUGAUCCAGCCAUGCCGCGUGUGUGAAGAAGGUCUUCGGAUUGUAAAGCACUUUAAGUUGGGAGGAAGGGCAGUAAGUUAAUACCUUGCUGUUUUGACGUUACCAACAGAAUAAGCACCGGCUAACUUCGUG
rnacentral:rRNA from 1 species